GACGAGCCACACAAACGUUAUUCGGAAUUACUGGGCUUAAAGGGUGCGUAGGCUGCGCGGAAAGUUGGGUGUGAAAUCCCUCGGCUCAACCGAGGAACUGCGCCCAAAACUACCGUGCUCGAGGAAGAUAGAGGUAAGCGGAACUUACGGUGGAGCGGUGAAAUGCGUUGAUACCGUAAGGAACACCUGUGGCGAAAGCGGCUUACUGGGUCUUUUCUGACGCUGAUGCACGAAAGCUAGGGGAGCAAACGGG
rnacentral:rRNA from 1 species